CCUACGGGAGGCUGCAGUGAGGAAUAUUGGUCAAUGGGCGCGAGCCUGAACCAGCCAAGUCGCGUGAGGGAAGACGGUCCUAUGGAUUGUAAACCUCUUUUGCCGGGGAGCAAAAGACGCCACGCGUGGCGUUCCGAGAGUACCCGAAGAAAAAGCAUCGGCUAACUCCGUGCCAGCAGCCGCGGUAAUACGGAGGAUGCGAGCGUUAUCCGGAUUUAUUGGGGUUAAAGGGUGCGCAGGCGGAAGAGCAAGUCAGCGGUAAAAUUGAGAGGCUCAACCUCUUCGAGCCGUUGAAACUGGUUUUCUGGAGUGAGUGAGAGGUAUGCGGAAUGCGUGGUGUAGCGGUGAAAUGCAUAGAUAUCACGCAGAACUCCGAUUGCGAAGGCAGCAUACCGGCGCUCAACUGACGCUCAUGCACGAAAGUGUGGGUAUCGAACAGGAUUAGAUACCCCAGUAGUC
rnacentral:rRNA from 1 species